GACAGAGGCCUCGAGCGUUAGGCGGAAUCACUGGGCUUAAAGCGUGUGUAGGCGGAUCGUUAAGUGUCUUGUGAAAUCCCACGGCUCAACCGUGGAACUGCUGGGCAUACUGGCGAUCUUGGGCCACCUAGGGGCAGUCGGAACAAACGGUGGAGCGGUGAAAUGCGUAGAUAUCAAGCAGAACACCUGUGGCGAAGGCGGCCUUCUGGACGAUGACUGACGCUGAGACACGAAAGCGUGGGGAGCAAACAGG
rnacentral:rRNA from 1 species